GGAUGCGAUCAUACCAGCACUAAAGCACCGGAUCCCAUCAGAACUCCGAAGUUAAGCGUGCUUGGGCGAGAGUAGUACUAGGAUGGGUGACCUCCUGGGAAGUCCUCGUGUUGCGUUCCC
rnacentral:rRNA from 1 species